rnacentral:rRNA from 1 species
UACGUAGGUGGCAAGCGUUAUCCGGAUUUAUUGGGCGUAAAGAGAACGCAGGCGGUCUUUUAAGUCUGAUGUGAAAGCCUUCGGCUUAACCGGAGUAGUGCAUUGGAAACUGGGAGACUUGAGUGCAGAAGAGGAGAGUGGAACUCCAUGUGUAGCGGUGAAAUGCGUAGAUAUAUGGAAGAACACCAGUGGCGAAAGCGGCUCUCUGGUCUGUAACUGACGCUGAGGUUCGGAAGCGUGGGUAGCAAACAGG